GACUGUUUAGUGUCUGAGCACCUGACAGGACUGUUUAGUGUCUGAGCACCUGACAGGACUGUUUAGUGUCUGAGCACCUGACAGGACUGUUUAGUGUCUGAGCACCUGACAGGACUGUUUAGUGUCGUUUGUUGUUUUGUAUACGUGUUUCGUUUGUUUUUUCCUUCUUUUGAUGUAAUAAAGAAGAUGAGUAUUACACGUUCCCGCUGCACCUUGGUCCAAUCCUUACGACGCCCCGUUACCCACUCUCAUUAUUAAAGCCACGGAAGUUCAAGGCAGACUGUGGUACUGCAGGAAUUGUUUGCAAAAACAGGAUUCCUUAAAUGGACAUUAGUUUGAUCUUCAUGGUCAAUCUUCGUGUAAUUAAACACAAUUUUCGAAGACAGUCACGCUACCAAUAAUUGCUUUUAAAACACCAGAUAUAUGUCCUCGAAACCAAUCAUUUUUUUCUAUCGCAGGAUAAGGAUUAGUUGCUAAUGGAAGACUGCAGUACCCCGGUCGGCCUUCAACGCGAGUUACUCAAUGAGAAGGGGGCAGCGCUGAGCUAGCCUGCAACGUCACAUUCUGGAGUAGCUCAAAGCGCUGCAUGUUAUGUCUCCGUGAGACGCAAUCUUAUCCGAAUUAAUUAGGCUUCAAUUCGCCACUGAGUCUUCACAGAGGAAUUAGUGGUGUCACGCGAUCAAUGGCUUUGUCCAUUCAUUGGUGCAGACAGUCAGUCAAUGGUCCUGUCGUCUGCGGAUGUACUGUAGCUCGAGCAGACACUCAUCAUCUUCCUGUGUGGCUCAGUUGGUAGAGCAUGGUGUUUGCAACGCCAGGGUUGUGGGUUCGAUUCCCACGAGGGACCGGUACGGAGAAAGAAAUGUAUGAAAUGUAUGCAUUCAGUACUGUAAGUCGCUCUGGAUAAGAGUGUCUACUAAAAUGUAAAUGUAAUCAAUGCUCAAUGGUGCAGAUCAAUAAACGUGCUCCAAUUCACCGUGAUCUCUCAUUCAUUGGGGGGGGAUCAAUGUAACUAUGUGCUAUCUUACCAGCUCCUAUGGUCAUUACCACAGAGUUGGCCAACACAAACAGAUCACACAUCACAUUAUAUCUGGUCUGUCUGGUGUUACUGCACUGAAGUCAAGCUAUACCACUGAAUGUUUCUUUCAGACAACAAAGAAGAAGACAAUAAUCAUUUGAAUUCAUCCAUCCAUCCAUUGAACACAAUGUUGGUCACUAGUUUGGGGACUGAGGUGAAAAACAAAGACUGCGUCAGUUUAGCCUGGUCCCAGAUCUGUUGGUGCUGUCUUGCCAACUCACAUGGACCUUGUCAUGGAUGUGUCUGUAUACAGCACAAAUAGAUCUGGCACCAGGCUAUAGUAUCGAUUCUCUUCUGUUGUGACACCAGGCUAUAGUAUCGAUUCUCUUCUGUUGUGACACCAGGCUAUAGUAUCGAUUCUCUUCUGUUGUGACACCAGGCUAUAGUAUCGAUUCUCUUCUGUUGUGACACCAGGCUAUAGUAUCGAUUCUCUUCUGUUGUGACACCAGGCUAUAGUAUCGAUUCUCUUCUUAUUUAUCAAAACAUCUAAACAUUCCACGUUUUAUGGUUCAUAUAUAUCCUCAUUCUGUCCUCUGUAUAACUAUCAAAAACAAUCUCAUAAAGUCAGAGAAACCACUGGUUAGAAUGAUACAAAAACAAGCUAUUUCUGCUCUCUCUCUCUCUCUCUCUCUCUCUCUCUCUCUCUCUCUCUCUCUCUCUCUCUCUCUCUCUCUCUCUCUCUCUCUCUCUCUCUCUCUCUCGUAAACCUGUCAACACGAUAUGCUCUCUCAAACACACAAACUCAUCACAACAACACAACCACAUACCCAUGCCCAUGUACAAACCCAUCAGCUGAGACAGAGAAGACUUUCUCAAAGGGCUUCAUUAAGACAUUAUUAUCUCUAAUAUAUAUAUAUAUAUAUAUAUAUACUAUUUCAUUAUUAGAAACCAUCUCUGACAUAACAAACUGCAGCUAUAUGGCCAUGUUUGGAAAGGAAAACUAUCUUAUGGACAAUCUAUCUAUCUAUCUAUCUAUCUAUCUAUCUAUCUAUCUAUCUAUCUAUCUAUCUAUCUAUCUAUCUAUCUAUCUAUCUAUCUAUCUAUCUAUCUAUCUAUCUAUCUAUCUAUCUAUCUAUCUAUCUAUCUAUCUAUCUAUCUAUCUAUCUAUCUAUUCCAUCAGUUUAUCUAUCCUCCUCACCCUGUCUCUCUCCAGAGCCAAACAAGUGGCACCUCAUUUCCCUGCUCUCUGCAGAGGCUCUGUGUGUAAUACCAUCUUUCCUCACUAGGUGGCAGAGAGGCCGUUAUAAAGAGCUCAUGUCAAGCCAGUGAGACGGAUGGGCUUUUUUUUUAAAGGUUUACAAUCUAUUCAAUCUAUUCAAUCUGUAUCGCGGAAGUUCAUAUGUUGGCUCAAAAUGACCUUUACAUUUCUAUCGUGGAAUCAGUUAACGCUUCAGCUUUCCUUUUGAACAAGAGUCCUUAAAUAUCCGCUUUGAAUGCUUUCGGUUAAAGAGUGGUUCGAUGCCUUUAUUCAAAACGACUGGGCUCUGGCUGGAGAGAUUACAUGGGUUUGGAGGAAUUAUUUUAAAGCUUAAAAAACACAAUUUCCUAAGUGUGUAAAAGGACCAGAAACGUCUCUUUUUAAAGUUGGUGUAAAACCUCCCCAAAAAAAUCGUGAAUUUUAAAUAUUUCGCAAAACAGUCUUUAAAAACACCUAUAGUAUAGUAGUAGCAUUACCCUGCGUACACAACAUCCUCUUUCCAAGGUCUACGUACAAAACAUCUAGCCAGCUACGAAAACUAAGCAAACAGAUUUCCAUAACAAGGGACAGUUCCCACCUACUAUACUCUAAAAUCUAUACAGCCGACCCGGGAGACAGAGAGUACGUGAAAGGACGAAGGAUAUAGGUUCACAUCCCUCACAGCAGAGGAAGGAUAUAGCUUCACAUCCCCCACAGCAGAGGAGGAAGGAUAUAGCUUCACAUCCCCCACAGCAGAGGAGGAAGGAUAUAGCUUCACAUCCCCCACAGCAGAGGAGGAAGGAUAGAGCUUCACAUCACUCACAGCAGAGGAAGGAUAUAGCUUCACAUCCCCCACAGUAGAGGAGGAAGGAUAUAGCUUCACAUCCCCCACAGCAGAGGAAGGAUAUAGCUUCACAUCCCUCACAGUAGAGGAAGGAUAUAGCUUCACAUCCCUCACAGUAGAGGAAGGAUAUAGCUUCACAUCCCUCACAGUAGAGGAAGGAUAUAGCUUCACAUCCCUCACAGCAGAGGAAGGAUAUAGCUUCACAUCCCUCACAGCAGAGGAAGGAUAUAGCUUCACAUCCCUCACAGCAGAGGAAGGAUAUAGCUUCACAUCCCUCACAGCAGAGGAAGGAUAUAGCUUCACAUCCCUCACAGCAGAGGAGGAAGGAUAUAGCUUCACAUCCCUCACAGCAGAGGAGGAAGGAUAUAGCUUCACAUCCCUCACAGCAGAGGAGGAAGUAUAUAGCUUCACAUCCCUCACAGCAGAGGAAGGAUAUAGCUUCACAUCCCUCACAGCAGAGGAGGAAGGAUAUAGCUUCACAUCCCUCACAGCAGAGGAGGAAGGAUAUAGCUUCACAUCCCUCACAGCAGAGGAGGAAGGAUAUAGCUUCACAUCCCUCACAGCAGAGGAAGGAUAUAGCUUCACAUCCCUCACAGCAGAGGAAGGAUAUAGCUUCACAUCCCUCACAGCAGAGGAAGGAUAUAGCUUCACAUCCCUCACAGUAGAGGAAGGAUAUAGCUUCACAUCCCCCACAGCAGAGGAGGAAGGAUAUAGCUUCACAUCCCCCACAGCAGAGGAAGGAUAUAUCUUCACAUCCCCCACAGCAGAGGAAGGAUAUAUCUUCACAUCCCUCACAGUAGAGGAAGAAGGAUAUAGCUUCACAUCCCUCACAGUAGAGGAAGGAUAUAGCUUCACAUCCCUCACAGCAGAGGAAGGAUAUAGCUUCACAUCCCUCACAGCAGAGGAGGAAGGAUAUAGCUUCACAUCCCUCACAGCAGAGGAGGAAGGAUAUAGCUUCACAUCCCUCACAGCAGAGGAGGAAGGAUAUAGCUUCACAUCCCUCACAGCAGAGGAAGGAUAUAGCUUCACAUCCCUCACAGCAGAGGAAGGAUAUAGCUUCACAUCCCUCACAGCAGAGGAAGGAUAUAGCUUCACAUCCCUCACAGCAGAGGAGGAAGGAUAUAGCUUCACAUCCCUCACAGCAGAGGAGGAAGGAUAUAGCUUCACAUCCCUCACAGCAGAGGAAGGAUAUAGCUUCACAUCCCCCACAGCAGAGGAAGGAUAUAGCUUCACAUCCCUCACAGCAGAGGAGGAAGGAUAGGGCUUCACAUCCCUCACAGCAGAGGAUGAAGGAUAUAGCUUCACAUCCCCCACAGUAGAGGAAGGAUAUAGCUUCACAUCCCCCACAGCAGAGGAGGAAGGAUAUAGCUUCACAUCCCCCACAGCAGAGGAGGAAGGAUAUAGCUUCACAUCCCCCACAGCAGAGGAAGGAUAUAGCUUCACAUCCCCCACAGCAGAGGAGGAAGGAUAUAGCUUCACAUCCCCCACAGUAGAGGAAGGAUAUAGCUUCACAUCCCCCACAGCAGAGGAGGAAGGAUAUAGCUUCACAUCCCCCACAGCAGAGGAAGGAUAUAGCUUCACAUCCCCCACAGCAGAGGAAGGAUAUAGCUUCACAUCCCCCACAGCAGAGGAAGGAUAUAGCUUCACAUCCCCCACAGUAGAGGAAGGAUAUAGCUUCACAUCCCCCACAGCAGAGGAAGGAUAUAGCUUCACAUCCCCCACAGUAGAGGGGGAUGUGAAGGGGGACAUCUGUCUGUCUGUCUGUCUGUCUGUCUGUCUGUCUGUCUGUCUGUCUGUCUGUCUGUCUGUCUGUCUCAGUUAGCCCUCAUCCAUCAUCACAUUCCAACACUGUCCAGUCCAGACCUUCAGAACCAUCUCAUUGCAUCAGGAAGAAAAGUAACAGAUAGGAUAGGACAACCUUCCCCAUCACAUCCAAACAACAGCCCUUUCAUAUGGAGGAAACAGAAACAUCAGUCUUCUACUGCCUUCUGUGGAGUUACAAACACUCAGAACCAUAGAACACUCAGAACCCUAGAACACUCAGAACCCUAGAACACUCAAAACCCUAGGACACUCAGAACCAUAGAACACUCAGAACCCUAGAACACUCAGAACCCUAGAACACUCAAAACCCUAGGACACUCAGAACCAUAGAACACUCAGAACCCUAGAACACUCAAAACCCUAGGACACUCAGAACCAUAGAACACUCAAAACCCUAGGACACUCAGAACCAUAGAACACUCAGAACCCUAGAACACUCAAAACCCUAGGACACUCAGAACCAUAGAACACUCAGAACCAUAGAACACUCAAAACCAUAGAACACUCAGAACCCUAGAACACGCAGAACCCUAGAACACUCAGAACCCUAGAACACUCAAAACCCUAGAACACUCAGAACCCUAGAACACUCAAAACCCUAGGACACUCAGAACCAUAGAACACUCAGAACCAUAGAACACUCAGAACCCUAGAACACUCAGAACCCUAGAACACUCAGAACCAUAGAACACUCAAAACCAUAGAACACUCAGAACCCUAGAACACGCAGAACCCUAGAACACUCAAAACCCUAGAACACUCAAAACCCUAGAACACUCAGAACCCUAGAGCACUCAGAACCCUAGAACACUCAGAACCCUAGAACACUCAAAACCCUAGGACACUCAGAACCAUAGAACACUCAAAACCAUAGAACACUCAGAACCCUAGAACACGCAGAACCCUAGAACACUCAAAACCCUAGAACACUCAAAACCCUAGAACACGCAGAACCCUAGAACACUCAGAACCCUAGAACACUCAGAACCAUAGAACACUCAGAACCAUAGAACACUCAAAACCCUAGAACACUCAAAACCCUAGAACACUCAGAACCCUAGAACACUCAAAACCAUAGAACACUCAGACAGCAUAGAAACAACUCAAUGCUCUAAACAGCAUAUUGUCAACAUCGAUUUGUCAGAGAGAGAAAUGGUGAGGAGGAGGAAGUCUGUUCUGUGGCUCAGAAUGAAUUCAUGUAAAAUGUCUGACUGAAGGGAAGCUAUUCACUGUGACACACAAUGUCAAUGUCUGACUGGAAGGAAGCUAUUCACUGUGACACACAAUGUCAAUGUCUGACUGGAGGGAAGCUAUUCACUGUGACACACAAUGUCAAUGUCUGACUGGAGGGGAAGCUAUUCACUGUGACACACAAUGUCAAUGUCUGACUGGAGGGAAGCUAUUCACU
rnacentral:lncRNA from 1 species